GGGGGUGACUGGUAUUGACAUCACGUAGAAACGGUAUGUAAGCAUGCAGUGCUUUGAUGUGCAAGCACUAUAAUCACAACGCAUCGACCUAUAAUUGGCGAAAAUAACAAUUACGCUCUCGCUGCUUGAUCCGAAGUAAAGUAAGAUCGCUUUAUUUUCCUCAAAGUGAGGAAAACGAGACAUCGUCCCAUUGCCCUGUUCCGAGACGUUUGGACAAGACGGUGCUAAGAAAAUCGGAAAUUGGGUUCUGCCAGCCUUGAGCAGAACCUGAAAUCAAAAAGGCUAAGGCACAGGUUGGUAGUCGUGAGCCUGCCUGUACUCGAAAACCAAGUCAAUGACUAAGCAUGUAGAAAGCCUACUGCUUCCGUGGCUGGACGAGGGUUCAAGCCCCUCCACCUCCACAA
rnacentral:tmRNA from 1 species